rnacentral:rRNA from 1 species
UACGGAGGGGGCUAGCGUUGUUCGGAAUUACUGGGCGUAAAGCGCACGUAGGCGGCUUUGUAAGUUAGAGGUGAAAGCCCGGGGCUCAACCCCGGAAUAGCCUUUAAGACUGCAUCGCUUGGACACGGGAGAGGUGAGUGGAAUUCCGAGUGUAGAGGUGAAAUUCGUAGAUAUUCGGAAGAACACCAGUGGCGAAGGCGGCUCACUGGCCCGAUACUGACGCUGAGGCACGAAAGCGUGGGGAGCAAACAGG